CCUUAGUUUUUUCCAUUCCAUUGGGAUUACCCAAGUUACAGUAUUUCUUAAUCAGUCAUCUUAACAAUUUUGGCAGAUGUAGUAACACAGCAACCAGAUGGGACUCAAACUUAUCUUCAAUUUCUAUGUGUUUACCUUGUUUUGCGUAGAUCACAAGCCUGGCCGGUGAUUUCUGGUUCUCCUGGUCCCUCGGAUAGCCCAACACAUUUAAUUACUGUACAGUUUGAGCAGGAUUGUCCCGUCAUAGAAAAAAUAGGGCCAAGGAACAUAAUAGAGUCAUAAGAGAUCAGGCUAUGAAGGCCAAAGAACUCUAAGCUGACAUCAGUUUC